CAGGUGGUUUGUUAAGUCAGAUGUGAAAGCCCGGGGCUCAACCUCGGAAUUGCAUUUGAAACUGGCAAACUAGAGUACUGUAGAGGGGGUAGAAUUUCAGGUGUAGCGGUGAAAAUGCGUAGAGAUCUGAAGGAAUACCGGUGGCGAAGGCGGCCCCCUGGACAGAUACUGACACUCAGAUGCGAAAGCGUGGGGAGCAAACAGGAUUAGAUCCCCUGGUAG
rnacentral:rRNA from 1 species